rnacentral:ncRNA from 2 species
GUCCCGGCGGGAUCUGCUCUGGCAAAUGAGAAAUUCGGAGUAAUCUUCACUUCCAACACACUGCAAAACCCUCUCGACCUUUCGGGUCCGGAGGCUCUGGCAACUGCCCGUGAGGGCCUACCAUGAACACUUUCUCCAUGGUUGCAUCCGGCAUCAGAAAAUCCAGCCCUGGAAGUCCGGGCUAUGGGAGCUGGUGCGAAGAUGGUCUGUCCGCUUCCUCUUUCGUGGGAGGUUGGGACGAUGACUUUAGUGCAAUACGCGGCGUACCCUAUCGCUCUCUCUCUUUUCUUCCUUUUGGCUUCCGGGUUCAUUGGGGUGGGAGAGGGCGGAAGACGGUAUCAUUCGAUUCCGAUUACUCUGGUGAGGAC